AAAGAAUAUUGAAGUAUUCUGGUCCACGUUUUGCUGCCCGACCCAGUAUACUAUUUCUACUUUUAUGGAAGGAAAGUUGGGGUUGCACCCACCUAUGCAAUAUUGUAGCCUAGCUAGGUAACGGUGACGAUCAAGUAACAAUAAUACAAUUUCCAACCCUUCACCUUCUUUGGCCAGGUAAACGUUAAAAAGGUUGUUCAUGUAUCGUAUGCAUACAAAAACUAACGAGGAAGAUGGAGUGAGGAGGCACUAAUACAAUAAGAUAGGAUUCAAAGAAGAGGAAAAAAAUACUUUUCAUUACGACACAACAACUCAUAUGAAAAGGAGAUGAAGAGAUAUUGACUGUGUACCUUCUGUAGAUGAAGAAGAAGCAGGAAGUACCCAUGCUGCAUAGCUACAAAGGUAUUAAGCCUAUUUCUUUAAGCAGUAAGUGAAAAUAAGAGAUGAUGAUGACCUUAAAGGGUUUCAAUCAUUCAACAAGCGUCGAGUACAUUUUGGAGUCUGAAUUAAAUAAAGGCGGAUCAAUGUCAUUUUAAAAAUCAAUUGUAGUCUUU
rnacentral:lncRNA from 1 species